rnacentral:rRNA from 1 species
AAGUCUGGUGCCAGCAGCCGCGGUAAUUCCAGCUCCAAUAGCGUAUAUUAAAGUUGUUGCAGUUAAAAAGCUCGUAGUUGAAUUUCGGGGUUAGUAGGUUGGUCAUGCCUCUGGUAUGUACUGGUCUCACUGAUUCCUCCUUCCUUAUGAACCGUAAUGCCAUUAAUUUGGUGUUGCGGGGAAUUUGGACUGUUACUUUGAAAGAAUUAGAGUGUUUAAAGCAAGCUAACGCUUGAAUACAUUAGCAUGGAAUAAUGAAAUAGGACGUUCGAUCUUAUUUUGUUGGUUUCUAGGAUUGACGUAAUGAUUAAUAGGGAUAGUUGGGGGCAUUAGUAUUCAAUUGUCAGAGGUGAAAUUCUUGGAUUUAUUGAAGACUAGCUACUGCGAAAGCAUUUGCCAAGGAUGUUUUCAUUAAUCAAGAACGAAAGUUAGGGGAUCGAAGACGAUCAGAUACCGUCGUAGUCUUAACCAUAAACUAUGCCGACUAGGGAUCGGAUGAUGUUAAUUUUUUAAUGACUCAUUCGGCGCCUUACGGGAAACCAAAGUGUUUGGGU